rnacentral:rRNA from 1 species
AUUGAACGCUGGCGGCAUGCCUUACACAUGCAAGUCGAACGGUAACAGGUCUUCGGAUGCUGACGAGUGGCGAACGGGUGAGUAAUACAUCGGAACGUGCCUAGUAGUGGGGGAUAACUACUCGAAAGAGUGGCUAAUACCGCAUGAGAUCUACGGAUGAAAGCAGGGGAUCGCACGACCUUGUGCUACUAGAGCGGCCGAUGGCAGAUUAGGUAGUUGGUGGGAUAAAAGCUUACCAGGCCGACGAUCUGUAGCUGGUCUGAGAGGACGAUCAGCCACACUGGGAAUGAGCCACGGCCCAGACUCCUAGGGGAGGCGGCAGUGGGGAAUUUUGGACAAUGGGCGCAAGCCUGAUCCAGCAAUGCCGCGGGCAGGAUGAAGGCCUUCGGGUUGUAAACUGCUUUUGUACGGAACGAAAAGCCCUGGGUUAAUACCCUGGGGUCAUGACGGUACCGUAAGAAUAAGCACCGGCUAACUACGUGCCAGCAGCCGCCGUAACAC